UACGGAGGGUGCGAGCGUUGUCCAGAAUCACUGGGCGUAAAGGGCGCGUAGGCGGCCUGAUAAGUAGGGGGUGAAAUCCUGCGGCUUAACCGCAGGGCUGCCUUCUAAACUGUCAGGCUGGAGCACAGUAGAGGCAGGUGGAAUUCCCGGUGUAGCGGUGGAAUGCGUAGAGAUCGGGAAGAACAUCGGUGGCGAAGGCGGCCUGCUGGGCAGUAGCUGACGCUGAGGCGCGACAGCGUGGGGAGCAAACAGG
rnacentral:rRNA from 1 species